rnacentral:rRNA from 1 species
AGAGUUUGAUCCUGGCUCAGGACGAACGCUGGCGGCGUGCUUAACACAUGCAAGUCGAACGGAAAGGCCCUGCUUUUGUGGGGUGCUCGAGUGGCGAACGGGUGAGUAACACGUGAGUAACCUGCCCUUGACUUUGGGAUAACUUCAGGAAACUGGGGCUAAUACCGGAUAGGAGCUCCUGCUGCAUGGUGGGGGUUGGAAAGUUUCGGCGGUUGGGGAUGGACUCGCGGCUUAUCAGCUUGUUGGUGGGGUAGUGGCUUACCAAGGCUUUGACGGGUAGCCGGCCUGAGAGGGUGACCGGCCACAUUGGGACUGAGAUACGGCCCAGACUCCUACGGGAGGCAGCAGUGGGGAAUAUUGCACAAUGGGCGGAAGCCUGAUGCAGCAACGCCGCGUGCGGGAUGACGGCCUUCGGGUUGUAAACCGCUUUCGCCUGUGACGAAGCGUGAGUGACGGUAAUGGGUAAAGAAGCACCGGCUAACUACGUGCCAGCAGCCGCGGUGAUACGUAGGGUGCGAGCGUUGUCCGGAUUUAUUGGGCGUAAAGGGCUCGUAGGUGGUUGAUCGCGUCGGAAGUGUAAUCUUGGGGCUUAACCCUGAGCGUGCUUUCGAUACGGGUUGACUUGAGGAAGGUAGGGGAGAAUGGAAUUCCUGGUGGAGCGGUGGAAUGCGCAGAUAUCCGCGCCGUAGCUAACGCUUUAAGUACCCCGCCUGGGGAGUACGGCCGCAAGGCUAAAACUCAAAGGAAUUGACGGGGCCCCGCACAAGCGGCGGAGCAUGCGGAUUAAUUCGAUGCAACGCGUAGAACCUUACCUGGGUUUGACAUGGAUCGGGAGUGCUCAGAGAUGGGUGUGCCUCUUUUGGGGUCGGUUCACAGGUGGUGCAUGGCUGUCGUCAGCUCGUGUCGUGAGAUGUUGGGUUAAGUCCCGCAACGAGCGCAACCCUUGUUCACUGUUGCCAGCACGUUAUGGUGGGGACUCAGUGGAGACCGCCGGGGUCAACUCGGAGGAAGGUGGGGAUGACGUCAAGUCAUCAUGCCCCUUAUGUCCAGGGCUUCACGCAUGCUACAAUGGCUGGUACAGAGAGUGGCGAGCCUGUGAGGGUGAGCGAAUCUCGGAAAGCCGGUCUCAGUUCGGAUUGGGGUCUGCAACUCGACCUCAUGAAGUCGGAGUCGCUAGUAAUCGCAGAUCAGCAACGCUGCGGUGAAUACGUUCCCGGGGCUUGUACACACCGCCCGUCAAGUCAUGAAAGUUGGUAACACCCGAAGCCGGUGGCCUAACCGUUGUGGGGGAGCCGUCGAAGGUGGGACUGGUGAUUAGGACUAAGUCGUAACAAGGUAACCAAGGGCGAAUUCCACAGUG